rnacentral:lncRNA from 1 species
CUCUGAAGGACCUCAUGAAUACUUCUUUUGUUUGUUUUGCAUUAAAAGUUUUACCAAAAGUUGACUACAGGAGGAGCACAUAGACUUUGUGCUGAGAAUCCUUUAAGGUACCGUUAGAGAGCAGCAGAGGUCCAUGGAAAAGCUUUUAAUUCAGCAGGUUAUUUUUGUGGUUAAUUCAAACAGAGAGACUCGAUACCUUUUUGGUACUCUUUGCAGUCUGGCAAAUAGUCUGUUUUCCAGCACUGAAUAAACAGCAUUCUUCUUUCUUGCUUACCACAAUCACUCGAGGCUUUGCCUGUUUGACAGAGAUAAUAGCAGCUAUUGUCAGUAAAACCUCCUGACUCAUAAAGAAGUUUAUUCCUGCUCUGCUUUCUCCAGAGAGUUACUUUACUUCAGGACACAAAGGGCUGGAUUCUUCCUGCCGUCCUUGCCAGACUUCAUUUUAUUUUUUACAUGACAGGAGAACAAAGGGAGUCCACUGUAGUUCAGAUUUACAUGGAAACACCAUUCUUUGCUGUUUUACAUUAGUUUGGGACAAAUAAAAAGUUGUCUUUCACAGUUUCAGUCAAUUGGAUGUCUCAUUUUGGCAUGUAGCUGAGGUGGGAUAUAGCAAGCUGAAGUAACUGAACACUGAAUCCUCAUCACUGAAAGUGAAGACAUUGAAGAAAUGAACCGAGGAGUAGACUCCUGCUGUCUCUGUGACUGAGGCAGGGGAUGGGGAUUUGAGAAUCCACACCAGGACAGGAUAUAGACUGUGAGCUGGAACCUCAGGUGCAGCUGGACUCUGGGCUGCACAGCCAAGGAGAGAGGAAAGGAAUUAGUUUGCUCCCUGAUGCAGGAGCUGCUUGGGAAUUAUUCUGACCCUUGUUAUAAAUCAGGUGUUGAAGAUAUGGAAGAUGGUGGAAAUGCCUGGAAAUGUCUCUUUCAUGAUACAUUGACUCUGUUUGCCAUCUAGUCAAAAUUACCACCCUCUUCUGGUGCCUCAGUUUAGCACAUGAAAUUGAAGUUAUGCUGUAAGCCACAAUAAAUAAUCCAAAUCAGACUUGCA